CCUACGGGUGGCAGCAGUGAGGAAUAUUGGUCAAUGGGCGUAAGCCUGAACCAGCCAAGUCGCGUGAGGGAUGAAGGUUCUGUGGAUCGUAAACCUCUUUUAUAAGGGAAUAAAGUGCGGGACGUGUCCCCUUUUGUAUGUACCUUAUGAAUAAGGAUCGGCUAACUCCGUGCCAGCAGCCGCGGUAAUACGGAGGAUCCGAGCGUUAUCCGGAUUUAUUGGGUUUAAAGGGUGCGUAGGCGGCCUUUUAAGUCAGCGGUGAAAGUCUGUGGCUCAACCCGAGAAUUGCCGUUGAAACUGGGAGGCUGGAGUAUGUGUGAGGGAGGCGGAAUGCGUGGUGUAGCGGUGAAAUGCUUAGAUAUCACGCAGAACCCCGAUUGCGAAGGCAGCCUGCCAAGCCAUGACUGACGCUGAGGCACGAAAGCGUGGGGAUCAAACAGGAUUAGAUACCCGAGUAGUC
rnacentral:rRNA from 1 species